CACCAAUUUAUCCUGAACCUCAAGUCACUGUCGCAGUGUUUUUCUACGUUGCAGCGAGCACAAUUUAUCCACCUCAUUUUCCUGUCGACGUUAGUCUUCCACUAUACUUAUCAUAAUAUUUGAUACUUCACUGGUAACAUACUGUUUCGAGGGACACCAGUUUAUGCAUAAUCUGAACAUUCCAUUCAGACCUAAAUGGCUGUACGAUAUCUUAGAUAUGAAAAC
rnacentral:misc_RNA from 1 species